rnacentral:rRNA from 1 species
GUCCACACCGUAAACGUUGGGCGCUAGGUGUGGGGUCCAUUCCACGGAUUCCGUGCCGCAGCUAACGCAUUAAGCGCCCCGCCUGGGGGAGUACGGCCGCAAGGCUAAAAACUCAAAGGAAUUGACGGGGGCCCGCACAAGCGGCGGAGCAUGCGGAUUAAUUCGAUGCAACGCGAAGAACCUUACCUGGGUUUGACAUACACCGGAAAGCCUCAGAGAUGAGGCCCCUUUUGUAGGUGUACAGGUGGUGCAUGGCUGUCGU